CCUACGGGUGGCAGCAGUGGGGAAUAUUGGGCAAUGGGCGCAAGCCUGACCCAGCAAUGCCGCGUGAAGGACGAAGGCUUUCGGGUUGUAAACUUCUUUUAUGCGGGACGAAAGAUAUGACGGUACCUCCUGAAUAAGCCACGGCUAACUAGGUGCCCGCAGCCGCGGUAAUACGUAGGUGGCAAGCGUUAUCCGGAUUUACGGGGUGUAAGGGGCGUGUGGGCGGGACUGCAGGUCAGGUGUGAAAAUUAUGGGCUCAACGCGUAACCUGCAUUUGAAACUGUAGUUCUGGUGUGAUGGUGAGGCAGGCGGAAUGUCGGGUGUAGCGGUGAAAUGCGUAGAUAUUAGGAGGAACACCAGUUGCGAAGGCGGCCUACUGGACGGUGAUUGACGCUGAGGCUCGAAAGCGUGGGUAGCAAACAGGAUUAGAUACCCGGGUAGUC
rnacentral:rRNA from 1 species